rnacentral:rRNA from 1 species
UCUGGCGGCAGUAGAGCGGUGGUCCCACCUGACCCCAUGCCGAACUCAGAAGUGAAACGCCGUAGCGCCGAUGGUAGUGUGGGGUCUCCCCAUGCGAGAGUAGGGAACUGCCAGAC